rnacentral:ribozyme from 13 species
CAAAAAGGAAAAAAAAAAAAAAAAAAAAAAAAAAAAAAAAAAAAAAA